ensembl:lncRNA
AACUAGACAGACCGUUUUUCCCUUCAAUUGCAUAGGUGCUAUUGCGCGACCUGCAACCAGGAAGUAAACACUCGCUUACAUUAAAUUAUAUGCGCUAUCGUGCGACCUGUAACCAGAAGGGAAAACACUCGCGUGAAACCAGAGAGUGGUGAUAGCAUUUCUACUACUUGACAGUACUACAGCUAUGCGUAGCACGCCUCCGAACGCUUCCGAACAUCGCCGAAACUCCACCGGAUGUUUGGAGAUGACGUAUCUCCCCUCAGAUGCCGGCAAAAUUACCUUGAUAAGUUACCUGUUUUCCGUCUUGUAAUCGUUGCUAUUAAAUUAAAAAUGUCUCUUUUUACCUAAUUACUUGCUUUACUAUUUUUUUUUUUUUUUUUCGCCGCUUUCUUACGACGUCUUUCUGGUGGUGUCGGGUCAGCCAUCUCUUCUUCGUUCGUUACCAAACUCCGGUUGCAUUGUGGGAUAGCGUAGUGAACCCCGUUGUUUACUGUGGUGGUAGCACGCGGUCGGACGCGCUAUAUUUGUGGCGUACUACAAAAUGCAUACUUUAUAGCAGUCAAGUUACUGCCAAUUCAUUGAGCCUCUCCUGGCCCAUAGUGGACCUAAGCCACGUAUGAAGUCGGCGUAGAGCACUAAAGGACCGCUCACAGCUGCAACUGCUGACAGGGAUAGUCAGUGCCACCUGCAAGAUGGCCCUCAGUGACGGGAACAUCAUAGAGUCCAGGAGCUUGAAGACACUGAGGGUGUCCGGGAUGGAAUCUGGAUCCUUCCUGCUCAGGAAGCUCUUUGCCACCAAGACCUCUUCUGGGACCAGCUGUAUGUGGUAGUGUGUAGCCAGUUUCUCCAGUGACUGCAGACAGAGGAAGGAUUUGGAGGCUGGGUGGCAUGCCUGGAUUCCAUCCAUUAGCUCUCCCGCAACAGUGGAAAACCGGUGGCCCAGUUCAUUGAUCAUCCGAUCAAUGCACGGGAAGAAAAGCCCCUGCUUCAGACACUCUGAGUCGUUAAGCAGGUCAGAGCCCGACCCAGUAGACGCCUCCACAACAAAAUCAUCCAUUCUCCUCUGCUUUCUCCUUGGAGCAGGAGAGGGCUCGGGAAGGUUGUGAUCAGAGCAGAGCUGCUUUGUGACCUCAUAGAGUUCCUCAGCCACCUGUUCAGUUCUUUGACUGACCAAGGUGUCGUGGAUGGCACUCUUGAAUUGGACUGCCCUUGCAAGGUCAAUGGAUGUCCCCUGCAGGAACCUGUGGAAACCCUCUGUGAUACCCAAAAGCCUUUGGAUAACCACCAGUAAAUAUACUGUUGUCCUCUUUGACAAUUUAGAGAGAAGCCCCACUGCUAUUGGUGUAUUCAGCAUCUGCAGACUAGCAAUUACUGCAGGGAAAUUCCUCAAAAGGGCAUUUAUUGAGUUGACCUGGCAUGACCAUCGCGUUGAGGAUAUCUGGACCAGUUCACGCCGCUCAAUGUUCAGCUCUUUCUGCACAGCCACCAACUGAUCAUGGCUUUUGAUCGAGGUGCUGAAACAGGAAUACAGGCUUUCCAGCAUGUCAAAAAAAAAGCUUGCUUCCGGAAUAGCCUUGCAAGUAUGACAGAGCACCAAGUUCAGCUCAUGUGCAUAGCAGUGCACGUAGAUGGCCUCAGGGUGUUUUUCACGGAAACGAGUUUGCACGCCUCGCACUGACCCGCUCAUCACCGCUGCGCCAUCAUAUGACUGGGCAACAACUUUGAGACCGUCGAUGCCAUGUGAUCCCAGGACCUCCUCAAGGGCAUUUGUUAUGCUCUCCGCGUCAUACCCUCCCAGUCUUCUCAAACAAAGGAAUCGCUCCCUUAUGCGUUCCUGAAAGACGUAACGGACACAAACAGCAAGCUGCUCAGUGUUUCCAUCCUUGGCCUCAUCAGCCAUGAUGGAAAACAUUUUAGCUUCCCUCACCUCAUCCCUUAUCCUUGAUGUGAGCAGUGACGAGGAACACUUAAUGAAGUCAUUUUGGGAGGAAGGUGAAAGAUAGGUGGCAUUAGCAGGAGCAUUAUACUGUUGCAGGAAGGGAUCAAAUUUGGACAACAGCUGAACGCAUUCAAGUAAGUUUCCUUGGUUGGAGCUGCCCUCACCCUCGCAGUGCCCCCUGAAUGCAAUGCCUUGCUUGGCCAAGAAGAGCAUCACAGAAACAACGCGAUGGAGAUACAGUCUUCUUUCUUUGAUCUCCGCUGCACUAGCAGCAAGUAUUUGCUCGGUUACAUCCCCAUGGACCUUGGUUGCCUUUUAACCUAUCCAGGCCAUCAUGGAAGCCUUGUGAAGAGCCGUCUUCUCAUGUUCCCUAAAAGAAUCAAGAGCCCUCUUCCAAUUACAAUAGCCAGUGGUGGCCAGGCCAUCUUUAUUUGACCUCUUCUCCGGUUUGCUGAACACCCGACAGCAAAAACAUAAGGCAGCAUUUUUGGCUACAGAAUAUUCAAGCCAGUUGAAUGAUUCGUACCAGAUCUUUUGGAAUGACCUCUUCUGGAGUCCAAAAUAGGUAGAUGGGAAGUUGAUGUCUUUCACCUGCUUCGGACCUGUGUCUGGACUUCCUAAUGUGCCCUCUCCUGUCCUUCCCUCAUCACUCCUCUCUGGCUCAUCUGUGAUGCAACAAAAUUAAGAAGCAAACUGACACUCGGACAGUCUAUGCUGUGAUAGUAGCACUUCUAAAGGUAGAGGAGCCAUGUCAGGUAACCUUUUGACCCAGAAAAUAUACACAACUAGCUGUGCAAAAUAGACAUUUUGGUGAGGAUCUCGGAGGUGACCAUGUGAGAACAAAAAAAAUGACGACAGGUCCAACAAACAGGAUUUUAGGACCAAGACAGUCAAUGGUGCCUCGUCUUUGAACCAUGACGGUCAACAUGACACUGUUGGCCGCUUGAGGACAACACUCCCCGUAACUGAAAAUGUACAAAGUUAACUACAGCCGCCCUUCCUGGGUAAUGCCACCACCAAUCCCUGGUCAUCCAUUGAAGCCAUCUCUCUCACUCUGUACAGUCACACUGUUUCUCUUAGGUAAAAUCAAACCAGUGGGAUGUUAGAUUGAAAACCUCCAAAGCAAUGUAUUAAAAAUUGAAAGAACAGUCCUAUGUGUAGUUUCUUUUUUGGGGAUUUUCAAAAUGAGGUACCAAGCUAGAAUGGAUUGUCAACCCACUGUUUCUCAACCCUCUCCGAUUAUUACUAUGAGUAGUAGUAUUGCAUGCAUACAGUACUCACAUCAGUGCCACAGUAAGCCUAUAGAGGCUGCAACCAUUUGCUUCUCAAAAGAUUGUAGUGUUUUACAAUGGACGACCACUAGAGAGACAAGACAGGCGCCGCUACUAUGCUAGCUAUGAGGUAGUAACACCAGACCAGCAUUAAUCAAUCAAAAUUAAGCUAUCGACUGGCUGCUUUUCACAAACCUGAGCUGAUCGUAGUGUUCUCAUCAGGGGUUGCGGGGGAUGAUGCCACACUCUCCACCGCUUGUUCUUGCUCUGCUAUUUUCUUCCCAAAGAAUUUUCUUAUAUCCAUCUCUUAUCACCGAUAUUUUAUAA